rnacentral:lncRNA from 1 species
GCAUGGGAGGGCCAGGCGGUGUAGUAACCGACGAAGUUCCUAGAAUAGAGUGCGCGCUCGCAGCCUGAGGAGGAGGCCGAGCUGAGGCCAGUACUGGAGGUGAUACAACAGGUGGUUGGGGAGCACCACCAGAAGGAGGAAACCGAGGUCCACCUAAAACAGCCCCCGAACCAAACACUGAUGGUCCAUUACUGAUUGGAGCACCAGGCGUGUUUGAAGUGAGCACCAGAGAACUGCCAGCCACCGGCAAAGAUGAGCCAAACGUACUAGGGCGAGCACCUGGAGGAGGAGCGACUACACCAGCUUGCAAACUCGAAGAUGGGAAAGGACCAGAAGAUGUUGCAGGAGGAGACACAACCUGAGGCCCAACCGAAGAGGGCGGAGACCCAGUAAACGGCCUAGAACCAAAAGCGGGUGGCUGACUGAAAGGCGGACCAGUGGGUCUUCCCGGGCCUGAAUUUGAGGACAACAUGGAUGGUAGGGGUCCUGAAGGAGG